GUCCCUGUAGCACAAUGGAUAGCGUGUUGGACCUCUAAUCCGAAAGUCGUGGGAAUGAAUCCCACCUGGCAUG
rnacentral:tRNA from 1 species